rnacentral:lncRNA from 1 species
AUGUUUUUGCUCAUUAAUUCAGCAUGUAACUCACAUUCCAAUGGAAGCAGAAGAGGUUGAGCCCACAAUCAAACUGUCACUGAAUUCUAAACCAAAACUGAAGUAUGGACUUCUUCUCAUUAGGGUCACGUUGCCAGGACUAUACAACGAAACGCCUGGCCGUGAGAGUCCAGCAAUUUUCUUUGCUCUCAGAGUUCCUGUUUGGAAAAGAAAUCUGAGAACUUCAUGGUGGCAACCCAGGGCUGCUCUGUUUCUGACUCAAGAUAUUGGAGCAAGCUGUGCCUCUCCAUGGAGGAGGAAGCCUGCAGCCCCUGAAGGUCACGGGUGCUGUUGGAGCCACGAGGAAGAGCCAUCAGCCCAGGGAGAUGCUGAGGGUCGGGGCAUCUCCAUGGAUGAACUCCGUGUACUGCUGGACUCAUCCAACCCUUCGUGGACAUCACUUUGUAGUGAAAAUCCCUUUUGUUGUUGAAGAAAGCCUGAGUUGGGUGAUUUAUUACUCAUGAAGUAUGUUAAUACCUUGAUGCUAAUAUUCUCAUGAGAGAAUUAUACUCUAGUCUUAUGAUAGCACUAAAAGUAAUUUAAAGGUCCCACUGUUCUCCAGACAAAACCAACACUUGUGAAACCCUUGCUUUGCCAUUUACUAUCUAUGUUCCUGGAGAAACUAUUAAAUGUGCCAAGUCUACACCUCCACCUCAGUUUAGGAUCGAUAAUCUAUAUCUUUUCUUUUUCAGUUUCAAUACAUAAAAAUAAGUGCCAUGAGUGUUCUUGUAACUGAAUAGGCACUCAAAAGUGAAAUUAGGGUCUUCAGUUCUCCUGCUUUCUUAUCGUACAUCUUUAUGAUACUGUAAUUUGAGCUACAACCCCUGAGAUCUUCUUGAGAGUUAAUCACUGCUCUCAUUCUUUUAUUUUUAAUGUUUAUUUUGAUCUACAAUUAAAACAUCAGCUAACAAUCAUAGGUAUGCAUCCUUCAAUGCUUCCAACUUAUAAUCAUUCUUGUAUUAAGAAUUUUACUCUUUCAUUUUCCUGUGGUUGUUUUUUUCCCCUCAGGUUCUGCAAACACAUUUGUUGCCUAAAAUUGCACCUCUGAGAAAUUCCAGCACACUGGCAUAGUGUUCUGGACUCUCGCUGUGGUAUUACUGCCAGCACUAUGCUUCCUUAUUAAAAAAUGUAGAGGCUCACUUGCAGCAAGUUUGAUAGCAGGAUGAUAAAAUGGCAGGGUAUUUUUAAACACAGAUUUUGUGAGAUGUAUUACAUGGAAUUAAAUUUAGAACAUAUAUCAAGGAAAUCACCAUAGAGCUUUGAGCGUGAUUCAGAUCAUCCUGGCAUUAGUUGGACCACUCUGUUGGCUCAACAAUGUCAUUGCCUGAGUGGGAAAUAAAUUGCCCAGUCUAUGGGGGCACUAUCGGGUUGGCUUUCUGGUCACAGCAUCCUCCCCCCACAGAUGUCUCAUCUGGAAGGGUAUGUAGGGCAGCAAUUGGUGGAAAUACACAGCAGAAGAAGAUUGUGACUCUUUCUCCAACACACCCCCUCCUCCUCAGUACACAUCCUCUGCUCCCAAUGAUGGUACAAACAUCAGGGAUUUUACAGGACCCACUCAAGAAACUUACACUCCCGGUCUGCAUUUGGGAUUCUGUAUGUAAACCUCAGAAUAAAUUCAACAAAAUUUGU